GCUGUGUUUUACUGCUGGUCGGGACCUAUUGCAGAGGUGGGUUUCGUUCCAAUCCGUUUUCCGGCCCUCGUGCCCUCUCCUUGUUAGUUGGGCUAUACAAUUCACAGUAUUGGCUAUUGCUGCAUGCUACAUUUUUUUACAGGCAUUCCAGGAGCUGAGUGCCUACAAACUGAGAUACAAGAUUAUAAAAUUUUGCAAUUAAAAAAUAUUGAUUAUCAGAAGAUUAAGAUUAGUCAGGAAAAUGUGUCUUCAUAUCUUCUGCUUAGCUUUCUUCCAUUUCUAUAUUCUAACUGGGCAUUUUCUUGGAUGCCCAAGCCCAACUUUAUGAUUUUUUCCAUUAUUUUUAAAGCUUAAUUAGAAUUUUAAAUGACAAACUAUAUUUGACAUGUUACAAUUUUAAAUGGCAUAUAUACACUAAUUGCAAAAUUAUAAAACUGGAUGUAAUAUUUUUGAUAAAAACCCUAACAAACUUUCCUCAUUUACAGUGGAUCUAUUUGGACUUAGAAAGAAUCAUUUUAUCAUAUGAUAAAGUAACCAAAAAUUAUAAAAUAAAAAAUUAUAUGUAGUUUUGUCUGCAGGUAGAUAUAGCUGGUUUUGAAACCAAACAGAUUUCAAAACCAGCUAUCAGUGACAGACCUAUAGUUAUCGCAGCCCAGGGUGGAAGUCUCCCUGGGGCCUUCCUAAUUGGAAUGAUCACCAUACAAAAUGUCAACAUAAAUAUAUAAUUAACAUUUAUUUAAUCAAAAUGAUUUCAAAAACAAAAAAUCUUAAGACUAAAGAAAAAAU
rnacentral:lncRNA from 1 species